rnacentral:lncRNA from 1 species
GAAACUCCCUUCCAGGAGACAAUGGCGCUUUGAGCGCAGUAGGAGAGCGGAAGAUGGCGUGGCUGGGGGGAGGCGGGGGCGGGGCGCAAAUAUGGCAUCGCCGAGAAAAGCAAAGACAGGAAAAGCCGGUGCCCACCAGCUUUAGCAAGACAGAGCAGGAAAAUGGUGCCCGCUGCGGGGAAAAACUUCUAGAGUCAAAAAAAAAAAAAAAAAAAAAAAAAUGAGGGGGGCGCAGGCUCUAGCAAUGCCUAGGGAGAGGGUGAAGAUGGCGCUCACCAGCUCCGGGCCCUGGAGACCGAGGCCUGAAAACUAGGAAUGAACCUCCAGCACGGGAAGUCGGGCACUUUCCAAGGGCUGCUUCUGCACUGGGCCCCCGGGAGUCCGUGCCAGCAGGAGAAGACAGCAAGGAUUGGCUGGUUAGGAGCAGAGAUGCUGGAAUCCGGGAGUCCUGGAAUGGAAUCUUGCCCUGUGACACUGACAAGCCAUGUGACCUCAGGAACUGUGCAUCAGUUUCUUCCAAUAACCUGACCUGAGGAGGAAUAACCACCUUGAAAUGUGUCUCAUCAUCAAGAGGGG